UCUCUGGAGAAUCCCGCAGAGCGGGUGCCGAAGGGGCAAGGUGUUUCGACUAUUCGCUUUGGGCUGCAUGCCUAUACUGAAGCGUUUGCGUUAAAACGCAAACGUGCACAACCAACAUAAGCGAAGAACAACACCGAAACUCUCAGGCAAAAGGACAGAGUAG
rnacentral:ncRNA from 1 species